UUUCUCAAGCUGAUCGGUUGAAAUUUUAUCUACUUAUCAUCGAGUAUGAUAACGUAUAAUCUUUACUAAACGUUCAAAGCAAAUGAAUUCGUAUUCUAGAACGCUCAAAUUCUGUCCCAUUUGUCAAAAAGAGCCUUAACAAAAUAAUGUUUUGUACUGACGCAAAAUGAAACGGUCACUUGACCGACUCCUUAUUUUCAUUUUUUGCGCCUACUAUGUCCAACUGGCUUAUUCGAAGACUCCUCAAUACCUAAGUAAGCCGCCGACUCCUUUCUACAAUACCGAAACAAUGCUGAUGUGCCUUAGAAGAGUAGGAUUACCACCAGAGUCAAAACUAUGGGAGCUGCCCCAAAACAAAAAGGAUAGAGUGGUAGUUUGCCUAAGAAAUAUCAGCAAAUCACGGUUAAAACAAUGGCUGAAGGAUAAUCCGGAUUAUUCAGGAAAAAACUAUGGGGAAUAGAAUACUAUGAAUCUGAAUAGAAAUAGAACGCUUGAAUAAAAUUAAAUUGAAUUUACGCAUUUCUUCAGAAACUCUCUUUGAAAGCUGGAGCUAGUCUGAAAAGUUGAGUGGGAUAUUUUGGGUCGUCUUCCAUCCAAGAAGUCGCACCGAAUUCAGAUAUCUUCAGAGUUCAGAUGUGAAGAGCCAAACUGGAUGGAAUGGAAUAAGUUCUGUGCCUGAUUUAAUUAUUACUCCUAGUCCUAUUUCGGUUCAUGGUUGAUGCAAUUCCAUCGCAAAAAUGCAAUCAUUGCUGUGUUGUAAAAUUGUAAUAUGGACGAUUUUCUAUGAUGAUUUUUUUUUUGAUAUUUUCGAGAAAAUAAUUCUGAUUAAGUAAAUAUAAAACUGUUGUAAAUAUUUUUUUUAAAUAUUGAAAUAUCUAAUUAUUUUUUUGGUAGAAAAUACGACUAAAAUUUCCUUCUUGCCCGAAUACAUAUACUUAGAACAAUUUACAAAAAAUUCGUUUCUUGAACAUAUAAUUUUAGUGUAAUUAGAUGCAUUAAAAAAUCUGGAAAAAAAUUUCUAACGCCAUUCGACUAAAAAUAGUCUAAAAAAUAAUUUUAAAAAAUUCAUCUUCGCUUACCUUUUCAUGAUUAUGCCAAAGUUGCGUUGAAAUUUUUUUUGUAUUAGUAGGUACCUAAGUCAAAAUCAAAAUUUUCAAACUCUGAAAACUGAAAAAAAAUCGAGUAAUACAUAAAUCAAAUUUCAGCAUCAAAUUUUCAUCCUUCGAAUUUUAGCAUAUUUUUGAAAAUUCAAAGACUCGUGUUUCAUCAAAAAGAAGCCAACAAAAGGAAAAUUAAAACAAGUUUAAGCAAGAGUAAUUCCUCAACUAUUGAUUUGAAUUCAUCACUUGUCUACAUUUUUUACAAAUUAUUUACUCCGCACGUUCGAUGAUUUAUUUUCAUAAAACUAGAAUUUUUCAUCUUGAUGUCCGAUUAGUUAUUUCAACAUGAAUCUAUAACAGCAUAUUUUCAUUAAUAUACCUAUCGUGAAAUAUGAUAAGGCAUAGUUAAACUUCAUAAAACGUUCAAUGCAAAUGUACUCCAAUUCUUGAACACUCACAUUUUAUCACAUUCUCAAACAGAGCUUGAUAAAUGUUUCGUACCUACAGAUUACACAAUGAAACUGUUUCUCUCCGGACUUCUCGUUUUUAUUUUUCAAAUUCACUGUGUCCAAUUGGCUCGACGUCGACAUCCACAGACUCAACCGACUGAUAAUCCGGGUACCAAUGUAAUAGAGAGAUGCCUCGUACAAGAAGGAUUACCAAUAAAUUCAAAAAUAAGCGAACUCUGCCCCCUUGAACGAUACAGAUUCAGAAAAUGUUUGAAAGAAAUAAACCAUGAGACGAUGCCCAUUCCCACCGGCUUUCCAGGUUGUGGGGUACCGGUAGAAAUCUUCAAACGUGAAGAGAUGGAAAAGAUGCCAUAAGUUUUGCACUACAUGUAAUUGCAUUGCCAAAAUAUAAUUACAUACAUUACAUACCUAUUGUGAAUUAUACAUUUCUGAAGUAUUGUAAUAUGAUAUGAGUGAUUUUGAUUACUAAAGAUAAUAUGUACCUAGAAUCAAAUACAGCUGCAUCACUACUA